rnacentral:rRNA from 1 species
GACGAACGCUGGCGGCGCGCUUAACACAUGCAAGUUGAACGGAAAGGCCUGCUUUCCCUUGUGGAUUGCGGGUACUCGAGUGGCGAACGGGUGAGUAACACGUGAGUGAUCUGCCCCCAACUUGGGUAUAAGCCUGGGAAACUGGGUCUAAUUCCCGAUAGGACUGCAGGGUGGUGCCUGUGGUGGAAAACGAUUUUCUAGUGGUUGGGGAUGAGCUCGCGGCCUAUCAGCUUGUUGGUGGGGUAAUGGCCUACCAAGGCGGCGACGGGUAGCCGGCCUGGGAGGGUGGACGGCCACAUUGGGACUGAGAUACGGCCCAGACUCCUACGGGAGGCAGCAGUGGGGAAUAUUGCACAAUGGGCGGAAGCCUGAUGCAGCGACGCCGCGUGGGGGAUGACGGCCUUCGGGUUGUAAACUCCUUUCGACCGCGAGGAAGCCACCUGGUUGGAAGGGUGGUGACGGUAGUGGUAGAAGAAGCACCGGCUAACUACGUG